CCUACGGGGGGCAGCAGUGGGGAAUAUUGCACAAUGGGGGAAACCCUGAUGCAGCGACGCCGCGUGAGUGAAGAAGUAUUUCGGUACGUAAAGCUCUAUCAGCAGGGAAGAAAAUGACGGUACCUGACUAAGAAGCCCCGGCUAACUACGUGCCAGCAGCCGCGGUAAUACGUAGGGGGCAAGCGUUAUCCGGAUUUACUGGGUGUAAAGGGAGCGUAGACGGGAGCGCAAGUCUGGAGUGAAAUCCCAUGGCUUAACCAUGGAACUGCUGUGGAAACAGUGCAGCUAGAGUGCAGGAGAGGUAAGCGGAAUUCCUAGUGUAGCGGUGAAAUGCGUAGAUAUUAGGAGGAAUACCGUUAGCGAAGGCGGCAAUCUGGCUGGAAACUGACGCUGAGGUGCGAAAGCGUGGGUAGCAAACAGGAUUAGAUACCCGUGUAGUC
rnacentral:rRNA from 1 species